UUUGUGAAUCAUUAUAGAGCAAAUUGGGUCAAAACCCAUGGAAAAAUAUUAUUUUCUGUUAGAGAGAGAAGAAUAAAGAAGAAACAAACAAGUGAGAAAGCUCCAAAAAAUCUCGGGCAGACAAUAUUCUUAUUAUCCAUAAUUUCAUCCAAGGUGAUCUGUCUUUUUCUAUUGUACAUACAAAAUCAGCAACUAAGCGCUUCGUACUUAACCGGAAUCGGUUGGUUAAACCCGGUCCGUGCAAUCAAACUCCCAACCACCGUCAAAUCUCUACAAAACACUCCUUUCACCACAUUCACGUUAUUAUUCGCGGC
rnacentral:lncRNA from 1 species